rnacentral:lncRNA from 1 species
CCCAACAUGACAGUGUGUUAAUCUACACAUAAGCCUUGCCCAAGGCUUUUACCAGACUCUUAAGACACAGUUGUGUGUUACCACAAAAGCAUUUCUAUGAGGGAAACAUGGCUGUGUUGUCUCUAUAACAAGGAAAUCAACAAAAUCCCAAGAAAAAUACGGUUAUGUGCAUGCCCGACAUGGUCAUGUAUUAUUCCCCAUAUAAGCCUUGCCUAAGGCUUAUAUCACCUGGAAAAACAUUUGGGGUUUCUCAAAAACUGAUGUUUCCCAAUGUAUCUCACCUCUAAGUCAAGUAACAAGGGGAGUUAAUC